rnacentral:piRNA from 1 species
UAACAAAGGCUGCAUGGCUAUUGUUAA